rnacentral:lncRNA from 1 species
GUGAUGUAGCGGUUUCGGUUUUGAAACCCACAUAAUCCGCACCCAGGGGGCGCUGUUUGCAACUACGCCCGCCUAUAUAAGGAGCUGUCUCCAUGACGGGUUCGUCUUACUCUAUCCCAUGUUUUUUCUGCGUUAAAUGUGUGUGUGACAUCGUCAGUUCGGCCGCCGUCGCGGCGUGUGCCCCUAAGUUUUGCAUCAGUGUGCUUUGUGACAUCGGCUGUAUUGCGUUUUUUCGCCGACGGCUUACUACCACAAUGGCGGGAUCUGCGUUCGCUACCUUCGUUCUCGAUGCGCCUUUGUACGUCGCACGUUGGAUAGCACUAUUUCAGUUUCUUUACAGGAAUUUGCUGUACAGCAUCAGCGAGGAGUCUCAUUUCAGAUCUUUGUGUGUGCUGCAGGAUGUAUGCUUUGCUGCUUGAAUUGAUAAAACGUGGGCCAAGGUUUCCAUACAAGAACGAACUUCAAUUUGGCUGUAGCACCAUCAGUGCUUGGGUGGCGCCUCCCGAAUGAAUCAUCGCAGAUUUUGCUUGCCUGUGUCUACAAGAACCUUCACGCUUGACCUGCGACAGAAAGCAUUUGUGGGCAGCCAGUGCUCUCCUACAAAGACUGGCCUGCUCUGGCUGGGACAGCGAUCAUCUUGGAAGAUCUAUGCAUGGCCACCUUUGCUGCUAUUUGUCACUCUUGUUAAUUACACUUUCUGCAUCUUCUCAUUCAUUCAGUAAUACAAUGACUGUGACAUCGUGUGAAGUAGAUGUCUUGCAGCAUUUUGGCUUGCAGUCAUGUUCUAUGCACUUCAUGAAAAGCUCCUCAUACAGUGUGUUGUUGUCUGGCGGUCUUUCGGGACAAAGGAGGCCUCAUCGACAGGCGUGAACAUGUCAAGUGCACUUCACGCUUGUCGUUUCUCGCAGCCGGGAAGUGUCACAGUCGGUCACCUGGGACUGAUGGAUGAGCAAUUAGUCCCCAGACUGCAAUGGGUCCUCAGCCUCGUGCAUAGCUGAAACGGCAACGUCGCCCUUGGUGUUUCCGUGAAUUACCAGUGCCACCCGAACUACGACGAGGCCCGGCGUCGACUGCGACGCGCCAACCUGGAGCCCUUUGGAGACAACAGGCACCGUCCCCUGGAAAUGGUGGCUUCCGCGAACUGACCGCUACGGAGAGGCGACUCUUGUAAAGGGCCAGCAUCUAGCAAUCCUGUGGGAGCCACAUCGUUUGGUUCCCAAGGUGUCAACUGCUGCCUGUGUUCGGGGGGCGACCUGGCAAGAUUGGAGGUGGAGCCCAGCGGGAAACGAUGGCACAUCAUGUUCGGGAUAUGGCGACCUGGUCCAAAAUGGUGAUUGGCUAAGAACUAAAGUGCAUUGCCUCGUCGAGUGAAAGAAGGAAAAGAAAGGGAUAAAACAACGGGACUUGAGUGUUGUGAAGACGCUCUAUGUUGAACGCUUGGAGAUGCAAACGCUACUACGUGCAAAGAUGUUAGCAUGUAGACAGCUCCAAUAUCAUGAAGCCCUUGUAAAAUACCACAUGUAAAUUUGUAUAUAAAAGUUUUUGAUCUCUCUGGAUAUCUCCUCCUCUUGGCACGACACCACCCAUGGAACCUUCGUGGCUGCUCGGCUUUCGCAACAGUGUGUAAAAAAAAAAAAUAACAGUAUAUUCUAAUUUAUCCUUCAGUUCUGGUAACAUGCAAUAUGCAAGGGAUUCACUAAUGGAGGGUAUGCUGAAGAACUGGCCAUUAUUUCUGCGUGAUGCUCUGCAAGCAUAUGGCAAUACUUAACAAGGGACACCCACAAAGUAAGUUACAAUUUGCUUUUAAAUGAGGUACUGACAUCGGGAAGUAUUUGUAUUGCUGGAUAGAGUGGUGUGCAGAGUACUUUUCCAGAUGUGAAUCGAUAUUUUUAAGAAUUCAUCGUAGCACAGCAUUCUGUUUCGUAUACUUGUGUAAUGCUAUUCUUCCGGCUGCAACUGAUAAUAGGAAGUCAUCUCUGCCUGAACCGCAGCAUCACUGACAAAAAUGGUUCCCUGCGAGAAACUAUUUCGGUUUGCAGGAGACCCAGCAGGGCAAAGUUUUGUCGACAUUGAUGUGUUUCAUGCAGAGAUGUUCUUUUUU